CAAGAUCACUAGUCGUCUAAUCGACUUCUGGAAAUGUAUAUAUACGCGUAUGCCAUUUCUGUUCCGGCAUAACACGUCUUUUUGUGAGACAUAAUUGUUUGGUGAGUGAUUUUCUCGUCUACUUAAAUAAUGUAUCUGCAAAGUUAUCAUUCGGCAAUUGUUUUAAAUUUGAAAUCGUUUUUCUUUCAGCUUUCGAAUUCACUCCACGAAACCCAAACCAAAAAUCAAAAAAUGGGCGCUGAAAAGGUAUCCAUGAACAUCGUCGUCGUCGGACAGGUCCAAUCCGCCAAGGCCAUCAAAACCGUCGCAAAGGACGCCCCAGCCACCAGCCAACUGAUGGUGAGUACCCACCUACUUCUUUUCAUCACAAAUAUCGUUUUUUUUUUUUUAAUUCUGAGAAGAGCAAUAUUUGUCGUUUCAGAAAAAAUUUGGGACUUCGGGGUCAAUAAAAACUACUUAAUAGUAAAUUUUUCGAAUUAUUUUUAACUAUAGUUUUUUCAUAAGCACCUAAGCCCCUAAGAUCGAUAAAUUAUGAUGACCGUCUUGUUACAAUCGAUUUUGAUUAUUUUGCUAUAACCCAAAUGAAAAAAAAUAAUUAUUGUUUUCUUGAACUGAAUAUAAUAAAUAUUAAUUUUAGUAUUUUAAAAAAUGAAUCAAUUGUUCGAAUUUUCUUGAAAAUUUGUUUGUACUUUAGGAUUUUCGGUUCCAGUAUUCAAAUAUUUUACUUAAAAUAUUUUUCACAUGCGAUAUUUGGUUUUUUCAAUAUUGAUGAUAAUAUUUGUUUUUUUCAGACUUGUUAAUUCAAGACAUGUUCAUCAAUCAUCAUCUCAAAAAUACCAUAGUCCAAAUUAUACAUAAUAAUAUGUAUUGACACCACUUUAAAAUAAACCACUCAGUUUAACAAUUCAUUGUUUU